CUCCACCGGCUGGUUUGCUUUUGUUUGCACUCUACAACACUACACUCACCCAUACAUUGCAUUCAUGACUGAUUUACAUAAUUAUGAUUGUCGUUACAGCAACACUGUCCCUGAUAGGUGGUACGGCAUGGCUGUCAAGCUAGUUAGGGGGGCGGGCCUUCCUGCAUGGUCGAACAGCCAAUGUCUGGGGAGCCAACGUCUUGAUUAGCAAAGGCGGGCAGGUGUGCGUGACACAAAUGUUUGGGAAUGUGAGAGGCUUCGUGGCAGUUGGACGAGAGUCCGUCUGUGCCUUCCCGUGUUCUUCGUAAUAAGCCUUUUGAGUUAUUGUCGCGCGCUUUGUGUUAAAUAUUGAACUGUCGUCCGACGGAGAAAAGCGUUGGUUUGAACCGAGCAGAGUGAGCUGGUCCAGAGAGUGACGCAUCGUCGCGCCGAGAGAAGACUGCAACAGCAGAGGCAGUCUUACCAUCCUCAGGUAGUUCAUGAGGCUGGUGCCGUGUUCCCAGAUCUUGGAGGACUUGCAGGAGAGCUGAGUGGCACCAACAUUCUGGCUUCGGUUCAACUCCUGGACGGCUGCCACCACCGCGUACACCGCAUCAAAGAGCAGAGCUGAGGAGAGCUGCACAGGGAGAGGGAGGGAAGGAGAGAGACUCUGUCCUUCCUUCUCUUCUCCCCAAUGAAGCUGGCACACCCUGACCAUUCCAAUUACCGCCCACCUCUCUCAGCAGGGGCCAGAAAACUGUGGAAAAAGGCUGCUUUGCCUCUCAUCCCACCCCCUGUACAAACGUGCUCAUUGUCACUAACUCUGCAUCCUGCUAUGUACAUUUGUUUAAAUUCAUUAUGGCUUGGCCAAAAGUUAUGGGAAGAGAUGAAUUGGCUUGUCUGCUGUACAUCUGUGUAAAUAAACCAAACAAACUGAUGUCUUUAUAUAGGACUGAGAGAUAUUGUCACAGUUAUACAUUUUGGAAAACAAAGAGAGCUACUAGGCCAUUAAACUUUAAGACGAUAAUGUGCUACAACCUUUAAUUGGAAACAAUAAUUGGUGGAUUGCACAUUAAGAGCAAUAUGGUGUAGACAAACAGCCCGUGAAGACAUUACAAGUACGAGUUGAUGCCCUUUAGGUUUUACACACCGCAUGAAAUAUUACACAGACAAGUAAAUGUUACUACAGCUAUUCUGAUUAUAUUCCACUCUUGUCGGAUAAUUUCUCCAACAUAAGACCGAUAAUGUCAUGAGUUAACACAUUAUUAUUUCACACUUCCAGUCUGUCUUCCUUGCCAUCUUUUUUUAUUGCUUACAUUCUUUCUCUAAGCAUCAAUAAUCCACAGGUUUAAAACAUACAGUUACAACUUAAAAGAGAUACAAUUAAUGAAGCCUGAUCACAGACAUACAUAAUUAAGUUUUGCUUCUAAAAGUCAUUCACUACUUCACCAUUACUAGUAAUGGUACAUCAAGUAUAUUGACAGCUGAGAAAGAGAACGGCUGCUCCGUCAGGUCAAACUUUCAAUGUGUAAAUUUUAAAGACAAGAUUUUUGAUGCUCAAGUUUAUCUCCAGAUGUUUUUCAUGAAGCGACUAGAGUCAACAUUCGGCAGCUUGUCUGAAACUCGGCUUGUGUUGUUUUUAAUAUUUUCAGGCCUGUUUAACAAAUUCUAAUAUUGCAGCAAAAACCUUUCAGCCUUCGGUUCUGUUUGAAGUUCUCAAACACAAAUACUGUCACAUCUUGUGGACCUUCUGAUAUUUUUGUCUCAGAUAGGACUAGAAC